rnacentral:rRNA from 1 species
AUUGAACGCUGGCGGCAGGCCUAACACAUGCAAGUCGAACGUGUGGCGGACGGGUGAGUAAUGUCUGGGAAACUGCCUGAUGGAGGGGGAUAACUACUGGAAACGGUAGCUCAUACCGCAUACCAUCGGAUGUGCCCCCAUGGGAUGAGCUAGUAGGUGGGGUAACGGCUCACCUAGGAGACGAUCCCUAGCUGGUCGGAGAGGAUGACAAGCCAAACUGGAACAGAAGCACGGUCCAGACUCCUACGAGAGGCAGCAGUGGGGAAUAUUGCACAAUGGGCGCAAGCCGGAUACAGCCAUUCCGCGUGUAUGAAGAGGGCCUUCGGGUUGUAAAGUACUUUCAGCGGGGAGGCGUUACCCGCAGAAGAAGCACCGGCUAACUCCGUGCCAGCGGCCGCGGUAAUAC